UACGUAGGGGGCGAGCGUUGUCCGGAGUUACUGGGCGUAAAGCGCACGUAGGCGGUCUGGUAAGUUUGGAGUGACAGUUGGUGGCUUAACUGCCAAAGUGCUUCGAAAACUGACAGACUUGAGGGCUUCAGAGGGACGCGGAAUUCCGGGUGGAGUGGUGAAAUGCGUAGAGAUCCGGAGGAACACCAAAGGCGAAGGCAGUGUCCUGGGGAGUACCUGACGCUCAGGUGCGAAAGCCAGGGGAGCGAACGGG
rnacentral:rRNA from 1 species